ensembl:lncRNA
CACAAAAUGGCCGUCAUUUUUGAGCCUCGUCCUAUCAUGGCAGCCUUUCCAGAGCCUGAGCCAUGUCAAGUCACAGCUGAUCUCCCUGAUUCUUGUCAAGUCACAGCUGAUCUCCCUAAGUCAAGUCACAGCUGAUCUCCCUGAGUCAAGUCACAGCUGAUCUCCCCGAGUCUCGUCAAGUCACCGCUGAACUCCCUUAGUCAAGUCACUGCUGAUCUCCCUGAGUCAAGUCAAGCCACAGCUGCUCUCCCUGCGUCCCGUCCAGUCACGGCUGAUCUCUCUGAGUCUCAUCAAGUCACAGCUGCUCUCCAUAAGUCUCGUCAAGUCACAUCUGAUCUCCCUAAGUCAAGUAACAGCUGAUCUCCCUAAGUCUUGUCAAGUCUCAGCUGAUCUCCCUAAGUCUUGUCAAGUCUCAGCUGAUCUCCCUAAGUCAAGUAACAGCUGAUCUCCCUUAGGCAAGUCAAGCCAAG